CACCUCUAGCAUAACAAGUAUUAGAGGCAUUGCCUGCCCAGUGACUGAAGUUAAACGGCCGCGGUAUCCUGACCGUGCAAAGGUAGCAUAAUCACUUGUUCCUUAAUUAGGGACUAGAAUGAAUGGCUAAACGAGGGUUCUACUGUCUCUUAUUCUCAAUCAGUGAAAUUGACCUUCCAGUGAAGAGGCUGGAAUAAUAAAAUAAGACGAGAAGACCCUAUGGAGCUUAAAUUAACUAGCUUAACUAUUAAAAUACUACCCAAAUGGACUAAACAUAAAAAAAAUAAGCUAGCAAUUUCGGUUGGGGUGACCUCGGAGAAUAAAUUAUCCUCCGAAUGAUUAUAACAUAGACUAACAAGUCAAAGUAACAAUUAAAAUCUUAUUGAUCCAAUUCCCUUGAUCAACGGACCAAGUUACCCUAGGGAUAACAGCGCAAUCCUAUUUAAGAGUUCAUAUCGACAAUAAGGGUUUACGACCUCGAUGUUGGAUCAGGACAUCCCAAUGGUGCAGAAGCUAUUAAUGGUUCGUUUGUUCAACGAUUAAAAG
rnacentral:rRNA from 1 species